rnacentral:rRNA from 1 species
GAUGAACGCUGGCGGCGUGCUUAACACAUGCAAGUCGAACGAAGCAUUUAAGACAGAUUACUUCGGUUUGAAGUCUUUUAUGACUGAGUGGCGGACGGGUGAGUAACGCGUGGGUAACCUGCCUCAUACAGGGGGAUAGCAGCUGGAAACGGCUGGUAAUACCGCAUAAGCGCACAGUACCACAUGGUACAGUGUGAAAAACUCCGGUGGUAUGAGAUGGACCCGCGUCUGAUUAGCUUGUUGGCGGGGUAACGGCCCACCAAGGCGACGAUCAGUAGCCGACCUGAGAGGGUGACCGGCCACAUUGGGACUGAGACACGGCCCAGACUCCUACGGGAGGCAGCAGUGGGGAAUAUUGCACAAUGGAGGAAACUCUGAUGCAGCGACGCCGCGUGAGUGAAGAAGUAGUUCGCUAUGUAAAGCUCUAUCAGCAGGGAAGAUAGUGACGGUACCUGAAUAAGAAGCUCCGGCUAAAUACGUG